GACCACCAAACCAUGUGGCACCCACAAGGACAGCCCAGCCUGAAGAAGGAGAACAUUGGGAACCUGAAAGCCAUGGGGAGGCCAGCACAACAGAACAGAAUGCUGUUUCUGCAGCACAGAAAAGAUCUGAAAACAGAGGAUUAGAAUGGAAGUGCCUUCUCAGCCUUCACUACAGGUACCAAUGCAGUGCUAGAAUAUCAGCCUGUGGAUUCAUUUUCUAUAAUGUGUAAAUGAAGAGUAGUUAAUCAUGUUGAUCAUAGGGUGAUUGUUCAAUGGAGAAAGGGUGUAAAUAAUUACUAGUCACACUGGGGUAACUCCAGGCCUUGUGUUUCCUGAAAUAUUAUGCCCCAGUAAACGGUGAAUUUGUACAAAAUGUCUCUUUUCCCAGCAAGUUGGUUAUUAAGGACUCAGCUUAGAGCACUGCAUUUAUAGUCAGGUUUUGAAAAAGAAAAGAAGUGAAAUGCACUCCCUUGCAAAAAAUAAUGCACUCAUCCAAAUGUAUGUUCUUUUCUGUACAUGAGGACUUGCACACAGCACACUAGAUAUUUACAUGAGCAAUGGUAUAUUUUACAGAAAUGUGAUGAACCAUGUUUUGCAAAAUCAUAUAUGUGUGCAUUUACAGCAUACACGUGUGUGUGUAUGUGAGUUGUAUAUGUGGGUCUCUGCUUUCAAUUUUUAAAACUAUUUUGGAUGGUGGGGUUUUAUAGCAAUAUGAUGGAAUGCUUUAUUGCAAACUUGGCUUCAUUUUUCUGCUGUAGUCAUUGUAUUUCCUUUUGAAACAUGUGAGACACCACAACAGUGCAAUGAUUACCCUCUUCACAUAUUAUAUGGUGCUUUGUGGACUUUUGGUAGUGGCAUAUAGCUAUUAUUUUUUAAUGUAUCUUGGCAUUGGCUGUUCCUCCUUAAUAAGUUCAUGUUAUUCCUUCCACAACUUAUUCACACCACCUUCUAGAGGUCAUUAUGACCUACUGGUAUGUGAAAGAUGUGCCCUCACUGCCUUAACAACUCCAAGUUCUGCCACCGCUUCCACACCUGAGUCCUCAGGAUUGAAUUUGAACAGAAAGAUUGUUGCAAUCUUGCCAAAGAGGUCUAACCCUCAUUCUGCUUUGUGUGCCUGGGAGGACAAUUUACUGCAUCAGUCCUGCUUGCUCUUUGGUGCCCUCUGGGCUUUAUAUUAAUUUGUAGCUGAAAAAUAUUCCCAAAUGCUAAUGAUUGUACCUUGCCAUCUUGAUGGCUUAGGGAGCUUGUGAUUACCUGCUGAUUUUCACUAUGAAACUGAAAAUGUCAGAACCAAAAAUAGAAGGGUAAAAGAGAGAUUCAACAUCAUUCAACAACCAUUUGAUUUCUCUCUUUUCCCCACUUUUGACAGAAGCCAAAGCUAGUCAGCAUAUUUUACACACACUUCCUCACCACAUUCACACUUGUACCCAGGCCCACUCAAACUGGCCUCUAAUCUUGAACCCCCAAUUUUGACAGUCAGCAUAAUACAAUUUAACUUUAAUGAAUUUGCAGAAAUGUUGUUGAACCAGACCAGAUAACUGGGUGCUUAACCCCUCUCAUUCCUGUCUGAAUAAUGGGACAUACCAUCGUAGAGCUGUUUUUUUAAAGUUUGGUUCUCAAACACCUUCUAGGGCAAGUUUUCCUGGUACAUAAAGCUACUCUAGCAUUAAAUUAAAUUAAAGCCCAUUAUACAAAUCUCCCUGUUGUGUCACAAAAUCCCUGGAUUGCCUCUAUCGGCUUUAUAUGUUCAUAGAAGACUGAGGAUAUCAUUGCUUUUGGCAUCCACUGUGCUUUUGAAUGGAUGUUUGACAUCAUCUGAGGUUGUUUGCGGAUGGAUUACCUGUAACCUUUUGUGCUGAUCAUUUUGACUUUUUAUUAUACCUUUUGGGGAAAAGAAAUGUUGAUCUGAUUACAAGGGAUGUUUUAAUGGAAUCUGCCUGUCAAAUAAUGAAAUUGAGAGUGAUUUUAUUGAGUAGGUACAUCAUAAAAAGGUGAACAUUAUGUACAAGGGAGAUAAUAUAUUUUGUCAGGGCACCAAACAGACAUCCACUGGUUUGAAUGCAAUGCUCUGGGUGUUUCUUUAAAAUGUGAAAUUAGUCAUGAGAAUUAUAAGACAUUGUUAAACAGAGCAAACCAGCAUCUUAGAACUAUAAUAUUAAAAACACAAGAGGAAAGAAAAUGGAUGGAAAAAAAAUAAAAAGGAACACUUGGGAAAUUAACUAGA